rnacentral:rRNA from 1 species
UUCGGGUUGUAAAGCACUUUCAGUUGUGAGGAAAAGUUAGUAGUUAAUACCUGCUAGCCGUGACGUUAACAACAGAAGAAGCACCGGCUAACUCCGUGCCAGCAGCCGCGGUAAUACGGAGGGUGCGAGCGUUAAUCGGAAUUACUGGGCGUAAAGCGCACGCAGGCGGUUUGUUAAGCUAGAUGUGAAAGCCCCGGGCUCAACCUGGGAUGGUCAUUUAGAACUGGCAGACUAGAGUCUUGGAGAGGGGAGUGGAAUUCCAGGUGUAGCGGUGAAAUGCGUAGAUAUCUGGAGGAACAUCAGUGGCGAAGGCGACUCCCUGGCCAAAGACUGACGCUCAUGUGCGAAAGUGUGGGUAGCGAACAGGAUUAGAUACCCUGGUAGUCCACACCGUAAACGCUGUCUACUAGCUGUUUGUGACUUUAAGUCGUGAGUAGCGAAGCUAACGCGCUAAGUAGACCGCCUGGGGAGUACGGCCGCAAGGUUAAAACUCAAAUGAAUUGACGGGGGCCCGCACAAGCGGUGGAGCAUGUUGGUUUAAUUCGAUGCAACGCGAAGAACCUUACCUACACUUGACAUGCAGAGAACUUUCUAGAGAUAGAUUGGUGCCUUCGGGAACUCUGACACAGGUGCUGCAUGGCUGUCGUCAGCUCGUGUCGUGAGAUGUUGGGUUAAGUCCCGCAACGAGCGCAACCCUUGUCCUUAGUUGCCAGC